UACGUAGGGUGCAAGCGUUGUCCGGAAUUAUUGGGCGUAAAGAGCUCGUAGGCGGUCUGUCGCGUCGGCUGUGAAAACUCGGGGCUCAACCCCGAGCCUGCAGUCGAUACGGGCAGACUAGAGUGCGGUAGGGGAGACUGGAAUUCCUGGUGUAGCGGUGAAAUGCGCAGAUAUCAGGAGGAACACCGGUGGCGAAGGUGGGUCUCUGGGCCGUAACUGACGCUGAGGAGCGAAAGCGUGGGGAGCAAACAGG
rnacentral:rRNA from 1 species